rnacentral:rRNA from 1 species
AGAAUCAACGCUUGGCGGCGUGCCUAACACAUGCAAGGUCCAACGUGGAAAGGGGAGCAAUCCCCCGGUAGGGUAGCAAACGGGUGAGUAAGACAUGGGUGAUCUACCUUAGGGAUGGGGAUAUACCUUCCGAAAGGUAGGGGCCAAAUACCGAAUUAUUGUCCGGGACCAGUGAAAGGGUUUCCGGGGAAAGGGAGGCCUCUGAUACAAGCUUUCGCCUUAAGAUG